CACGUAGGGGGCAAGCGUUGUCCGGAUUUAUUGGGCGUAAAGAGCGUGUAGGCGGCCAGGCAGGUCUGGUGUGAAAUCUCGAGGCUCAACCUCGAGCUGUCAUCGGAAACCGCUUGGCUAGAGUCCGGAAGAGGAGAGUGGAAUUCCCGGUGUAGCGGUGAAAUGCGCAGAUAUCGGGAAGAACACCUAUGGCGAAGGCAGCUCUCUGGGACGGUACUGACGCUGAGACGCGAAAGCGUGGGGAGCGAACAGG
rnacentral:rRNA from 1 species